GUCAACACAGUCUUCCAUUCUGGGCAACGGAAAACAAUCUGCUUUGGUGACACUAUUCACCUUUCUGUAAUCCGUGCAAAAUCUAAAAGAAGCAUCGGGUUUCAGCACCAACAAACACGGUGAGCUCCACGGGCUCGAACUGGGAAUGGCUAAACCAUGCUUAAGCAGGUACUCUACCUCUCCUCUCAUCACUUCUCUCUUCUGGGGAUUAACACGAUAAGGAUGUUGUUUUAUCGGCGACGGGUGUGUAAGUUCGACAUCAUGGAAUAUCACAUGGGUUUGUCUGGGAAUGUCUGAAAAGAGAGAAGAGAACUCAUAAAUCAGAGAAAUCACAUCUGUUCUUUGGGAGGAUGAGAGACUCAACUUCAAGAAAUGGAGAAACAGUUGCCACAGAUGACAUUUUUACAUCAGGCUCCACAGACGUUGCUCUAUUCAAGGUCCAGAAAACCUGGAUGUUAAUGAUGACCCUGGAAGAGGAAGGAGGACCAACACUAAAU